AGAGAGGCCUGAAAGCGUCUGUACAAAUGGCUUCCGAGAAGCCCUGGGGAUAAAGGAGCUAGAGGCGGCAACACAUGGUUCCCAGAAGCUGAAUGUUGCGCAGACGACAGGAUAAAAUGACUUCACUCAUCCUGCUUCCACCCUCCGUGCGUGAGAAUUCGCUGCAGUGUAAUUCCAAAAUAGCAGUGACCAAAGCAGCUCUGGGAGCACAGCUGAGCACCUCAGAAGAUAAGUCCUGGGAUGAUUCUUGUCAUCUCCGUGAAAAGGAGAGGACGAAAAGGCAGAGGCUGCUGCCUGAGUGUCCCUUCACCUGGGCUGCGUAGCUUCGCCCAUGCUGACCAAAUUCCCCAUUUCAAGCUUCGGACUUGCGGACGUGCUAGUUAGGGUACAACUUGUUCAGACAGCUGUUUUCAUUCACAUCUCCAAAGGUCCUCUACCUUGGAAGAAGAAAGAAAGAGGGAAAGAGAAAUAAAAGGGAUUAAUUAAGAACACUGGGGCCAGGCACGGUGGCUCAUGCCUGUAAUCCCAGCACUUUGGGAGGCUGAGGCAGGUGGAUCACCUGAGGUCAGGAGUUGGAGACCAGCCUGGCCAACAUGGCAAAACCCCAUCUCUACUAAAAAUACAAAACUUAGUCAGGCAUGGUGGUGGGUACCUGUAAUCCCAGCUACUUUGGAGGCUGAGGUAGGAGGAUGACUUGAACCUGGGAGGCAGAGGCUGCAGUGAGCCGAGAUAAUGCUAUUGCACUCCAGCCUCGGUGACAAGAGUGAGACUCUGUCUCAAAAAUAAAAAAAAAAAACAAAAAACAAAAAACACAACUGAACCCACAGUUUCAUAAACAGUAAAUAAAAAUGCCACGCACCAUGAAUCAGAAAUAACGCUCUGGGUUGGCAUCUCUCCCCCACCAACCAGGGAACAGAUGCACCCCUUCACCAGGGGCAGCAGAGGGAGGUGGCUCUGUCUUCCUGACUUCAUCCUCCUGUUUCAUCAUCCAGGUUCUGUGUGGCCCAGCGGCCUGGGGCUCUUUUGCUUGUCCCCUCCCUGCCCUCCAUCAGGAGUGCCAAUGGGGCUCCCAAAUGCUCUUCCGCCAUCAUCUAUCCCCCUCCAUUAUGUCCUGGGUCCUCCACGUGCUCGUGUGUGAGCUUGAAGAUCAGACACCACAAGACACUCUUUCCCACUCUGCCUCAGCUGCCAAAUCCAGAGAAGGAAGGAUGGAUCAGACACCGAGACAGAAAAACAGAGUACCUGAGAAAGGCAGAGAGCCAGCCAUCUCCUGCCUCAGCCCCCAGAGGCCCCUGUGCCCCUCACUUCCCUCCCCUGAUUCCCACCAUCUGGGGUCCACCUCUGAAUUGACAAACUCUUGCUUGGUCACAUCUGGUUCAAGAGAAGGAAACAAGGAGUUUGGAAACCUAAACUAAUAGGCAGCACUUGGCACGCACAAUAGAAGCAGCUGCUGUUUAUAGCCCUUUUUAAAGGUGGCCUCAGGCCGGACCUCACACUUCCCUCCCUGUGGGGCAUUGUUUUACACAGAGCAUCUGCAACCUCACAGUCUUGCAACUCAAAAAAAAAAGAAAAAAAAA
rnacentral:lncRNA from 1 species